rnacentral:lncRNA from 1 species
UAAUAAACGUCAAAUCCCAUUCAAUAAACCUCAUGAAGCCCAAAAUAGAACUCAAACGAAAAAGAAACAAAUUAAAAUGGAAUUGGACAUGUGCAUGCUUAGAAAAGAUGAAUUGAUGACAUGGAGGGCUAAGGAGAGUAGAAACCAUUCUUUAUAUAAUAAGAAGAUGAAUUUAUGACGUGGAGGACUAAGGAGAGAAGAAACCCUUCUUUAUAUAAUAACACUAGGGGAAAUCCGCGCUUCGCGCGGAAUAUGUUAUUUUGGUCUCUAAUUUUUUUACAUGGUUGUUAUAUUGUAUAUUUGCUUAUGUCAUGUUCUGUUUCUAGAUAUGUACUUAGAAAGUUGAUUCUCGUAGUAAAGUGUCUGGAUGUUGUGUACAUUACAUUACACCUCUC